rnacentral:tRNA from 1 species
GGGGGUGUGGCUCAGUGGUAGAGCACUUGCCUAGCAUGUAUGAGGCACUGGGUUCGAUUCUCAGCAUCGCGU